CCCUAACUGUGCAAAGGUAGCAUAAUAAUUUGGCCUUUAAUUGGGGUCUAGAAUGAAGGGGCUCAUGAAAGACGGCUUGUAAACCUGUAAAACUAUAAUUUAAGGGCUUGAUUAAAACUUCAAGUUCAAUCAGUGGGAAGAUAAGACCCUGCAGAGCUGAUUUAGACUAGGCUUAGAUCAAAACAAUAGGGGUGUUUGGUUUUGUUGACUUAAACUGGGGCGGUAAACUAAUAUAUCUAGUUUGUAGUUCAACUAUGUAGCCAGACUGGGAUCUUAAACAAGUUAAAGAGUAGUUACCUCAGGGAUAACAGCACAAUGCUUUUAGAGAGGCCUAAUUGAUAAAAGAUCUUGUGACCUCGAUGUUGAAUUAAAGGUGCUAUCUAGUGUAGUAGCUAGGUAAGCUAGUCUGUUCGACUAUUAAA
rnacentral:rRNA from 1 species